UUUACAGUAACCUGCUCCAUAAAACACAGGGACUCCAAACAACCUGGACAAACACUCUUGAGGUCGAGGACCAUGAGAGGCAUCAAGUUCUACCCUGCUUCAAGGGGAAGGAGAUGGAUCUUCACCCCUUGAUGGGAGCUGGCAAGGUCCUGGAACAGCAAUGUGGGGCCAGAAAUAUUGCUGUGGCCACUUUUGGAAAUUACCAUCUUCUGCAACUAGAAUUAAAGACCUUCUUUACAGGGGAAAAAAAAGAGGGAGAAAAGAAGCAGCCGAAACAACUAACAAAUCACACCUGAAGGCUGAGUAUGCCUGCUCCCAUUUCUCUUCCUCUGGGGAAUCUGCAAUCUGUGCUUACUGCAAAUUGAACAGGAAUAAAGCAUUUUAACUC